UCCAGUGUUCAGACUACCUGUUC
rnacentral:ncRNA from 2 species